UUCACUGAGAGACAAUGGAUCAUGGCAGCAGAGGAAGGGCCAUCGACCUGUCUGUGAAAGGCAGGAGGACCAUGUUUGUUUAAGUCUUCCAGACAGUGAACGUCACGUGGGGAAAGACACAGGUAGGUUCCUUCCUGUGCGGGCUGUGCAGGGCACAUUGAGUUCCACACGCGUCACUGAGAACAUCGGCAGUUCUGAGCUGGGAGAGACCUGUACGUGCGUGGUCAGAGCUGGCACACAAUGUCCGUGGCAGAGCUGUCAGUCAGAAGUGAGGUGACAACAGUGGGGUGCAGAACAGCGAGAAAGACACCCCAGGCUGACACGGUUGUAAGCCGAUUUUGGAACACGGGUUCGCUGUCUCUGCUGCAACCACUGACUCCUUGGGCUUUAGUUUUCUUACCUGUGAAACAGCGGUUGCUGGGUAGCGCCCCAUGCUCUGUGAAUCAGCAGGCCUUGUUUUAGGCAAGCAUAACUUGGGAUAGCUAAAGUCACCUCCUCACCCCAUUAUUAUUAUUAUUAGAUCGUUUGGGAAUUACACAUCAUGCACCCCAAUCCUGCUCAUUUCCCAGUCCUCCUGUAUCUGUACUCCACCCUUAUAGCCUCCCCACAAGAGAAAAAGAGAGAAAAACAAAGACGAAACUUCUUACUGGCCCCUCUGGACAACAGCCACCCCUCUGUGAGCCAGCCCGUCCUCUCUCACAGCAGUCAGAGUCAGAGUCUCCAGUUCCGCCAUCCACGUACCGCGCGGCUCCCUCAUUUCUCCUGGCCCUCCCUCCGUCAUGUGCAUUGGUCAUGGUGGCAUUGGGAGCUGCAGUGCACCAUACAGUGUACACUUUUGUCCAAACAGCUUUUCUUACCGAUGUUCGGUGCACUGAGUUCUGGUCUGGUUCAAGGCACCUGACUCCCGCCACUUUGUCAAUAUUGGUCCUCCCUGAGAUCUUGGAUACCCUGCUAAUGCCCAGAGUCCUGGAGGCCCUGUGGCUAUGGCUCCCUGCAGGACCUGCCCCUCCACAGGCUCCAGCAGUUCAUGGAUGGAGGAGGCAGCCAUGGUGCGCAUGUGGAGGUCAGAGGAAAACUUGUAGGAGUGAGUUUUCCUUCACCAUGUGCGUCCUGGCUUGUGCGAAGCCAUCCAUCCAGCCGACGCUCCACUGAAGUGCUUGUCCAAUGUGUCCCUGAUGGCGGUUGUUCGAGGUCCGUGUAAGUCUACACACAGGCAUUAGUGCCUGCUGUUCUGCCAUGCUGUUCUCUUGCAAAAGGAAUGGGGUCAUGGUUACUACGGAAUUUCCCGCAUUUCAGACUGACUUACUGCAUUCUUGUGGGGUUUUUGCAAAGGACCCUCAUUCCUUUACGUUGGGAAAUGGACUUAGAGACCACAGUCUCCGUUAAGGGGUAGCCUUUGUUCCUAUGUUGUCAUUGUUUAUAGUUUUGUUUUGGUUUAUCUUCAGAAUAAACAGAGUUGGAAGAUU